CCCUUCACUCGACAAAUGGGGAUGUUAAGGCCCAGAAAGGCAAAGAAAGUUCCCCAAGGUCACAAGAUCAAUUGGCCACAUAGUUGAGGCUGGCUAAGAGAAAAGAAUAAUUUCUUGCUGGAUUCUUGGGAGAACCAUACAGGAAUAAGGUGUGACGGGACAGGGAGGAAGAUUAGAGCAAAACAAGGGAGUUGAAGUGAGGGAGUUAGGAGAACCUGGAUACCCCAGAAAACGCCAGCUCCAAUGUAGCCCACCCUGGCAGCCCAGGUGAUGGUGAGAGAUGCAACUCACUUCUUCUGCUUCUUCUCCAGCUCAUGGUUUCGACUUUGUUGGUUCUCUAGCAGGACGCAGGUAUCCUCAAGGUCACAGAGCAGUCUCUGGAUAGAAGAUCCACAUGUACAGACAAUAUUUUUCAUGUCUCACAGUGACCAGCAUUUGUAAUAAUAGUGGAGAUGGAAAAACCUUAAGGGGUUUGUGUCCUCUUCCUCCCUCUUCAGGCUCAGCUAAUACCUCGAUCACCCACAGUGGAGGUGAGAGCCUGCCCACUCUCUAACACUUCUGUGGCCCAGACUAUCCCCACAUCUUACCUUUUGCUCCAGCUCUUUCCUGGCUGUCAGCUCCGAGUCCAGCCUCUCCUCGCAUUGCUGCAGACGCUUUCUGAGGAACUCGUUCUCCAUCUGAGCACAGUCGAAGCGCAUCUGCCACUCGUCUGCUGUUUAACGGAGU
rnacentral:lncRNA from 10 species